UUAAAAGAAGGGGACAGGAACACUAAAUACUUUCAAACAUUGGCCAACUCUCAUAGGAGAUGCAACUCAAUAGACAAGCUCAAGAUGAACAAUGAGAUUACAGUAGAUAAAGAAUUAAUCAAUGGGGAGAUAUUAACCUAUUACCAAACUCUAUACACAGAGAAGAAAGAUGGGAGACCAUCUUCCAAUUUUGAAGAUGUUGCUAGACUAUCAGAGGAGGAAAGUGAAAUGCUUGAAAAAGGUUUUGAGGAAGAUGAAGUUUAUGCUAUCAUUAAAUCAUGUGCCCCAGAUAAAGCCCAAGGUCCAGAUGGAUUUACAAACAAUGAGAUUACAGCUGAUAAAGAACUGAUCAAAGGGGAAAUAUUAAACUAUUACCAAUCACCAUACACAGAGAAGGAAGAGUGGAGACCAGCUUCCAACUUUGAAGAUGUUGCCAGACUAUCAGAGGGGGAAAGUGAAAUGCUUGAAAAGGUUUUGAGGAAGAUGAAGUUUAUGCUAUCAUUCAAUCAUGUGCCCCAAAUAAAGCCCCAGGUUCAAAUGGAUUUACCAUGGCCUUCUUUCAAAAGUCUUGGGAUUUCAUUAAACUAGAGAUUUUGGCAGCAUUGAAUCAUUUUCAUCAGCACCGUUACAUGGAGAGAUCAUGCAAUCUUUCAUUGCCUUGAUUCCAAAGAAGAAAGGAGUUAUUGAGCUUAGGGAUUACAGACCAAUAAGCCUUAUUGGUAGUGUUUAUAAGAUUGUGGCCAAGUUGUUGGCAGAAAGAUUGGAAAAGGUUAUUGGAAAGCUGGUUUCUUCCCAUC
rnacentral:lncRNA from 1 species